AUACUUACCUGCCACGGAAGCAUUCACGAUCAUGAACGUGAAUACUCCAGGUUGAGGCGCGAGCAUUGCACAUCGCUCCCGUUGACGCCUGCGAAAAGUCCACAUCGGGCUUUCUCGAGUGGAUAAUUUGUUCCGCGGUCACAUGCGUUCGCGCAUUGACCAU
rnacentral:snRNA from 1 species